rnacentral:piRNA from 4 species
CGGGUCUUCCCGGAGUCGGGUUGCUUG